UUAGGCUCCAAAGUGUCUAAGCCACUUUUGAAAAUAGAAUUUAGGCUCCUAAGACAUUUAGACAUUUUGGAAAAAUUUGCCCUGUGUGUACACCCUGAGGCCCCAAUCCUGCAAUGAGUUAUGUGUACACAAACCCCAUCGUUUUAGGGCCAAGCCCUGUGGUCAUCACAGUUGUCUGUGUGAGGUAGUAGGUUUAAUUGAGAGAGGGGUCAUUAUGGACUCAGUAAAUUUUUAUAAAUGAAACUUUAAAAUUGUCUUUGCCCUUAAGGGAGAAAGGACAAUUUUCUUUACUUGUAAAAUAUGUAAAUAUCAGAUGUUUCCCUCCUCUUUUUUCCCUCCUUGUACCAUCCCCAUGAGAAAAAAAUUACAAAAUCAGCCACUCAACUGUUAUCUAAAAGGUACUGUAUUUUUUAACAAUUUCCUUUUUACUUAAAUAAACCUGACAAAUCUUACUGAGCAUUCUGUACUGUACAGAACACUAGUUUUCACUAUAUUUUGUGCUUUACUUUCCAUUUUCUGUUUCAGCAGUAAAGGAUAGGCACACAAGUUUGGAUAGAAUAACACUCUCAGCCUAAACUUCAAUCCGUUUUUAGAACUGAUCUUUUGCCAGCUUCUGAAAGCAAAAUACCAUGCAAGAAGCUGGCUGCUCUCAUACUAUUCCAGCUGGGAUCAGAAACAGAAGUGCUAGUAAUCUCACAAACAAGCCUGUUUCUCAUGAGACUUACAACACAGUCUUUCUGACACACACAGUUCAGAUAAUUUCAGAUGAGCAUCCAAACUUUUACUAUGUUUAUCUGAAUUAAACCCACAUUUUUAAUCUUUUGUAGUUCACUCAUCCUUAGUCCUAUAUCUGACUAUAUAUAUCAGCUACAUUCAUCUAGACAAUGUGACUUCCAGCAACAGUCAUACCCUGAGCACAGGCUGUUUGCUUUCAAAGUUAGACUAGUAUGCUUUGACGUUACUUCCAUUUACUUUGAGGCGGAUGAACUGUGGACACAGUUCUUAAGGGGUUUCUCAGAGGGAAUAAAAUCUCUAUUCAACAAAUGUCAGCUAAGUACUACUCCAUUUUUCCAGCCAAUUUACCAUUGCAUAUCACUUAUUUCUGACAAUGAUCCUUUGAAGUGAUUAUCUUUUUUUCUCUUUACAUAUACAAAGGGACAUGCUAAAAGUAAGUAACGUAAUCUUAAUAUUCACUUUAACACAAUAAAAUCACAUAAACAAUAAUUCAGUAGUCCCCUUCCUUUGUCACUUGAACUAAACCUCAUUGUUUGCUUUUUAGAGUUAUUCUCCCUCUCAGUUUCACUCUCGAUUAGCUCCCUUGGGAGUUUUCUAUUAAAGGUCUCUCUGCAGCAACAAAAUCACAGCAUUUACAUUUGGUAAACAUCUCUCAGCAUAUCACAUUUAAAUACCCUUGAGAUACCUGAGGCACUUAUCUGUCCAUCUGUAAACUUGUGCAAGAUUACCCUUACUAGAACUUGCAAAGGACAUUGACACUACUGCAAUAAAGUCUUUCUCUUAAGCUAUUCUCCCUUUCACGAAUGUGUACUGUUAACUCUGAUUUUUCACAAUGCACAAGUGGAAGCAAACUUGACUUUCAUUUCCCAGUACAUUCUGCACUGGUGUAGGUCCAUUAACCUCAAUGGACUGAUUUAUGCUGGCGUAAGUGAGAAGUGUUCUGCUAUCAGAGUGUGAAGUUGUAAUUUAUCCUAUCACUUAUAUUCAUGUGUUGAUUCAGAUUUGUAAAAAUGACUGGAGUAAGAUUUAAAUACUUAAUGUAUCUGAAUGUGAUCUAUUAUUGUCUGACCUACUUCUACAUUGAUCAAAAGGAUGCCCCUUCUGUUGACCUGUUUUUUUGUUAUUUUGUUUUGAAUUGCUGGUAUAACAAUGUCCCUGGCUCAUUAACUGGCUUGUUAUUCAACUCAGUACAGAUAUACAUUUAAAACAAUAAUAACAAAGAUUUUGCAAAUGGUGUCAGUACCAGCUCUAUUCUGUAGAUUGGAGGGUGUCCUGGCACUCAGGCAGUUUGAACUGGUUCCAGUGAUCUAGGUGCUGGAUCUGGCUUGUGCUGAGUUUCCCUGCAAGGCUUGUAGGUCAGGACAUUGUGAUUGUAGAGUUUCUUUCCUGUAGUAAAUCUCCACAGAUUGUUCUUUGAUUUAACCUGCAGUUAACCACCUUCAAAAGUUUCUAAUCUUGCUGCCACCUUUGAGCAAAGAAGGCAAUCAAAAAAUUCCUGUUUGACUGGCACAUCCAUUCAUCUCUCUUGACCUCUUAAAUGGACGUGAAGCCAUGAGAUGUCAGUUGACAUAGUGUUCACUCUCUAGGCUACUUCUGAACCCCUUUAUGCCAUCUAUAGCUGCACCAGGACAAGCACAGACAAAGAAAACUGAUUUGAACUAAUUGAAUCUUUACUGCUGUACUAUUGUAAUUCAUAGCUUUCCUUUUUUACACUUGGCAUUCACAUCAGUAGCUGGCAUCUGAGCAAAAUCCUAAUGUAGACAAGCCCUUAAUUGGGGAGAUAUAAUAGGCUAAUAGAUUUCUUCCAGAUCAGAAAUAAUCUAACUGGGAAAGCAGGAAAAUCCUGGGCAGUCACUAUUCAUCAUCCUGUCUGUCAAAGUGAUUGAGGAGGAGCCUAGUGUCUGUGCAUUGCAGUCAAAGCCAUUGUAAGUUACAGAAAUCUCCAGAACAAAACUUCUGCUUCCGUGGUGCAGCGCUAAGAGGUUCAUUUGUUUUGGCUAAGGGUUGAUUAAAGAACAAGGAAUUCUGGGUGUUUGUCCACCCAAAACUUCUGUAUUUUUUUAAUCUUGCUCAUAGCUAAUUUAGCUCUGGAAUGGAGUGCCAAGCAUUAGCUCUGGAAGCAAGUAUCGAUGGAUGCAAUUGCUAAAAAAUUAGGGUUUUUUAAAAUUACAAAUAGACCUAUGAGAGGGAGGCUCAUAGAUAGCCCAUACUGUCUUCCCUGGUCAUUUGCUGUUCCUCCAGGCUUUAUUAGUGUUUGUGAAGUGCUCUGAGGUCUUUGGAUGAAAGGUGCUAUAAAAGUGUGAAUUCUUGUUAUUUUGGUCUGCUUAUUACACUUCUUAUUAAAGGUGUACCUAAAGCAUUCACCAAAUUGUAUACUUUCACAUAAAAUGCUAACUAUAGUUUCUCCCUACAUACUUUGACCCUGACUUAGUUAGAUAUGUACCAUUUCUUGAAUACAUUUGUGCAUGCCUAACUUAAGUCCAGAAAAACCUGAUGGAGAGCGGCAGACUGGAGCUCUAUUUGAUCCACAGAAUAGUUACAACCCUACUAAUGAGCUUUAACCAACUAUGAGCUGAUAAAAUGUGUAGGUAAAAGGAUAGUUGCUUCUAUACUCAUGGUCUAUCUUUCGCUUCUGCUGAAAAUGCCAAUUGUGGGGACUCUUGUGUUAUGGACCCCUGUGCCCAUGAAACUUUAUGGAGAACACAAACUUGUUUACUCAGAGUACUAAACAGCCGUGACAAGAGCUACCAAAUGACGCUAGAAUUGAAUUUACUUUGAGAUUGAAAGGCUCCAUAUUUCAUUAGCAGGCCCCUCAGUUGCUCCAACCCCUGCUUUAAGUUUUAAGCUAUAUAUAGAAUUUUAGGGCCAUGUUAUUAAUAAUCAUUUCCAUUCUACAUUGUAUGCCCUGGGUGACGCAGACACAAAGUGGGAGCUUUCCAGAUUAGAACUGGUAAAGAUGUGUGUUCCCACUUAGUCAGCAUAGCUGUAGAAAACACCAGUCCAUUUUUUAUGAAGUACAGCAAAAAGCAUGUGCUGUGUGUAUAGGGGAUUAAACAGGCACUUGAGCAGAAGGAUAAAUGACAGUAGAGGCUGUUCAGGAUUUGGCAGAUCAAGGGCCAGUGUUACUGAUUGUUUUUCUGCACAUAAGUUAGGCAUAGGAAAGUGUAUGCAAGAAAUGGUGUAUGCCUGCAUUGGUAAAUCAGGUUCCAAGUACAGAGAGAGAGACUGUUCUCUUAACUCUUCAACACACGCCCUCUGUUUUGAAUGAAUAACUUAACUUUUCAUCUCAUGCAGUUUAUUAGCAUCUGUUCCUUUUCGUUUAGGGUCUUUUAUAUCUGUGGUUCUCUUAGCAAUUUUGUUACCGGGACAUUGUCCUAUUUUGUCAGUGCAUUUAUAGAAGAGAUUUUACACAGCUUUGCAAAUGGGUGUAUGAAAUAGGUACAGAUCCUUAAUCUCAUUUCAACAAAUGUAAACUCUUCUGCUGCUGCACUACCUCUCUGACCUCUACACUGUACACCAUUCAGUAUUGUCUUUGCAUUCUAGCAACGGCUGCCAGUUUCAGGCUGGAACUGACAUUUUGCCAUCCAAAUGGUCUCCUCCUAUGUUUCAAGUCUGAAAAAGUUAGACCAGUAAAUCUGGAUUUGUCACCGAGAAAGACGUUUCUCUUGCCUCUCCCAGUCAUUACACUCUUGUCUGUUUGCUGAGAACCACUCCUUGGUGAUAAUAAAUGAGAGAAUAGAGUAGGGGUGAUGAAUAGGGAUGGUGAGUGGAAAGGGGAAGGAGAUCACUAAAAUGUGUGGAAACAUUCUGCUCUUUUAAACCAGACAAUUGAGAGCAGUUGAUGCUUUAACUUAAUAUUUGUAUGCCAAUCCAUUUCCCACCUCCAGAAUAAACACUGAAAAUCCUUCAUUUAUUUCCAGGCAAAAAAUACUUUAAAAUGCAGUUAAGGUUGAAAGUAUGUAUCAGUAAUCUAAGUGGUUAAAAUUUUACAAGCAUUAUAAACCUAGCAAAUUCAGAGUUAAGGUUAAACUUUAAAAGAAAUUCAAACAUUUUAAGGUAUGGAAAUGCACAGAAUACCCAAGCAACCUUAAGUCUGCCUUGUGGUGACAUCAUGCACUACCACCCACAGAUUAUUAAUGUUUAAAGUGAUUUAUUGUAAUAAUGUGUGUAGUCCCAGAUUAAAUGGAAUUUUAAAAAUUAGAUUUUUUUUCCCUAUCGUGGUGUCACUACAAGGCAGAGUGCCCUAACUGUGCAAUUCCAUGCUUUGGAUUUUUAACAACACUGAUUGCCAUGUUUAUAAUUAUUUUGAGAAAAUUUUUACCUUAAAUCACUUUAAUUUUACCUUAAACUCUCUUUACUUCCACUUUAACAUAGUUUAAAAAUUUUCUUGCUGUUAUUUCAGAACAUAAUUAACAGUAAACACACAUUUCUAAUGCAUUGAAGAUAUGUAAUAUUAUUUCUUUUAUUUUAACUUCUAAUCUGAUUCACUGAUGCACACUAUUUCAUGCCAUUCUGGAAGAGCAAAAAGCAGCCAGAGUCUACUAGACAGUAAACUGGAUUUAUAGCCACUAUGCAUCAGUGCACAAAGCAGCUGGAGCCUAUACCUGGGUUUCCUCCGUGUAUCUACAUUCCCUUGUACAUGCACACCCUCCAUUUUCUCCCAAUCUACACAUUCCCCUGCCCCCUUCUUGCCUGCUUUGAUGAGUAGAUAUGGUGCAACAGGUAGUUCUUGAAAUUAAAUAUUUAGGUUUGAUUCUUUUUAGAUAUUUUUCAUAACUAAAAUUUUGUCAGCAGAGUUUGGCACAUAAAAAUCUCAGAAACUCUCAAAGAAUUGCCCACUUUCAAAAUGACUGUUGUUUCCUAUUAUCCUGAAUAGGACUGAGAACACAGCCUGCCUUCAUUUAACAUGCCUACUUUCAAAAUGUCCACCCCCUGAUUGUUCCCAGGAAGAGUAAACACAAACCACCUUCAGAUAAAAUGGUAGUCUCUAUGCUGUCAGAGGCAAACUGAAGCAGUGAUGAGAAUGCGGGUAGCUUUCUUGACUAAGGUUAGCCUGUGGCCUCAGUCACAGUGAGAACACUGCGACAUAGGUGGCCAUUUUGAGAAGGGGAUCUAAUGAAGGGUGGUCUCAGUCUUCUGGAGAACAAUAUGAAAUGACAGCUAUUUUGGAAGAGAGAGGUUCUUUGUGUCAUUCUGUCCACCACCAUUCUGCUAGUGAAGAAACAGCUUUAAUUUAUGCAGGAUAAUGGCAAAAAAAGAUUUAAUCUAUCCUCUCAAAACCAAAAAGACUUUAAAUAUGGCCUGUGCACAAGAUAUUAGUGAGUUUUAACUCUAUGCAAUGGUGUAGCAAUGUCAGUCCCAAGAUAUUAGAGAGACAAGGUGGAUGAGAUAAUAUCUUUUAUUGGACCAACUUCUGUUGGUGAGAGAGACCACCUUUCAAGUCCCACACAGCUCUUCAAGUCUGGGGAAAAGAGCUUUGGGGAAAAACCUUGUCUCUUUUUUAACUGUAUGGUGAGUUUGAAGACCCUGUAUUAUUCUGUUGCUGAUAUUCAAGACGAAGGUCCAGACCCGACAGUAUAUGUAUUUAAAAAAAAAUAAAAAUUGACAAUUUUAACUCCAUAAACAAACUGACGGAAUUAUCUAUAAAUUCUCAGACUUCAUUAUGCACCCCAAGUGUAAGUGCUAUAUUUGCAGUGUGGAUUACAGUGUGUUAAUAUACGCAAGAGGUUUAGUCUGUGCUUCAGAUGUGAAUCUCUGCUCAACCCUAACUAUGGAGCUGCAACCAUCAGUACCUCCACAACAAUCAUAGAAAUCAAAUUUAAUUCAGUAUAUUCUGUUUGGGGUGGGAAGUGGGGGGUGGAAGAAGAAUAGAUGGGCCGUAAUAUAGAGUGUAUCUGACUUGGGAGAAUGCAUAUGAGGCAAAUGAAAAUUGACCUGAAACUCCAAUUUGGAACCUUUUCUGAAGCUUUGAAAAAGGCUCUUGUCUACCUGUUCGGUUUUUUUACUUUUAAUUUUCAUACCCUUCUGCUCUUCUUUCUUCUGGAUUGGAAGUGAAAGUUCUGAAUAUCUGGAGAGACAGUACUGUUAAGAAAAUUGCAGCAGGUUCUGAAGACCCAAGGGCAACACGAGACUCUAGGGAAACCUCCAAACUUUUAGUUCUUUCUACCAGCCAUGCUUUUGAGGUUUGCCCAUCACUAACAGGAAGCUGAUGGAUAAAUAAGUUACUAUUUCAGUGGGAAAAAAUUAUGUAGUUACAAUUCUUGGCUAUUUCCUAGCAGAAGCACCUUCUCUUUAUAUAAAAGAAAAUGUGCUAUCAUAUUCUACAAUAGGGAUCUGUAACACCAUUGUAAGAUGUAGUGUUUUGGGAUUAUGCUGUAAAAUGCUGAAAUAUUUUCAAAAGCAUAAGCAUGCUGUCUCUUAAUAUAGAUAUAACUUAUUUAUUUGCACAGGCAGUUUCCCAGUUGGUGCCUCUGGUUUUUUUAAAUGGCUUUUCCCUUUAAUCUAUUCCUUGAACAACUGUGUAAACCCAGAGGAUUAGAGUCUGCAGGAGAGCAACAUGAAGGGCAGCUGUUGCUCUCCAACAUUUUUUUUACUGAGCAAAAGCAUGUCAGAGCCUUCAGAGAAGCUUAAUGCUACUGCAUGCUGAAAAAAUCAUGUAUUGCAGUGAUCAUGGGUACAUACAGUACUACUGGCUGCUUCCCACUGACUCUUUGGCCAACAGAAACCACUUCACUGAUUGAAUGUUCCUAUCAUUUAAUUGAGCAAGACUUGAGAUAUUUUUAAUUGAAAUGGGAAAUUCAAUAAACUGAUUCACUAGUUCUUCACCUCCUCUUGUCUGUGUUAUCACAGGUCAAAUGGGAAACUUUUGUGGAAGCCCCUUGUUUAAAAUAUCAGCAUCAGCACAUCUUUGCAGGGCCGACAGAUGCUUUCUCUUUUCUCCAUCCACAGGAGGUAAAAUGGCCAAGUUACUUCCUCAGCAUACUUUCCUUGAUAAAACGAUCUUUAAUCCUUAGCAUGUUACAGAAUGCUAUGGCCUAUAUCUAUAAUGCACUUCUUUUAAAAACAAGUUUCCCAUUUUCUUCUUAGCUUGGCUUUCACAUUGGUACUCUGUCUCUCUCAUUGCUAUCUUUCUCCAGAACACAGCUGAGAGAGCCUGGAGAAAGAUGUGCCAUCCUAGUUCUCAUUGCUUUAUUUCCCUGUUGUGCUAUAUGUAUACAACAAUGUACACUCUCCAUACCACUUUGCUCCCCUGCCAUACCAUUUUUUCCUUUUUCUAAAAUGUUUAUCUUUAAUCUUAUAACUUUACCCUAAAAAUCAUCAGUUCUGCUGCUUUCCUAUUUUUGUUUAAUCACAGGACAAAGUUAAAUCUCAAAGAUAAUCAGUAAUUACGAGCUGGAAAAAUUAUUCCUCUUUUUUAAUAAUGUUUUGUUUGGCUUUUACUUUGUAAAAAUAGAAGGGAGAGAGAAGAUCAGGCAAAAAGAGAAUCUUCAGGCCUGUGCUUUUUUGCUGUAGUUACAUGAAUUCCCUUUUGGGAUAUCUUGCUUCCUGCUCCCUUCCUCCACUUUUCUAGAAAGUCAAAUAAUAUUUGCCUUUUAAUCCUCUAUCUGUUCCGAGUUUUUUUUUUUCCCCCUUACGCUGUAUUGAGAACUAUCUUUAUCAGCUCAUUAUAUCUCUCUUAAUGCAUGCCUGAACCUGACAUUCUGUGCUGCCAAGGUAGUUCUGAGCUAGUUAUUGUAUUUAUUUGCAUUGAGAUUGGUGGUUGGGAAGGAGUUGGGGGGAAUCAAAGCUUGUUUUUAAGUAGGUUAUUUCAAAUGUACUUUGUUUAUAAUCCUGGCUAAGAUUCUCUCCUUCUUUUGGCAUUUCACCUUGUCUUAGGACAUAUGGGGGAUUUAUGGAACCUUUCAUCUCCACAACAUUGGUUGAAUUCAGCCCAAAUCGGUAGUGUGUAGACUUUAUUAGCAUCUAAUAUUUGGGUGACAUCAGUAUUGGUCUUAGCUGGAUACGUGAGGGCGAGUGAGGUGCCGCUGGCCAGGAUCAGUUCGGCAGGAAAUAGAAUCUGACUCUAGCAACAACAACAGCUCCAGCCCAUCUUAACCAAUUACUUCUCUUUUCCCCAAAAAGAACAAUUGUGACUAUCUUUAGUACCAUCUAGAAGACUGUUAAACAAGGAAUUUUUCCUUCUAAAAUCUCUCUCCAGCUAAAGGGAAAUGGAACAAGAGAUGUCAAAAUGAAAACUUUAUUUAAUACUUUACAUUUCAAAUGCUUGA